rnacentral:lncRNA from 1 species
GGCUGACUACGCGGUCGCGUGCUGUCGCGCCGUGUUGCCUCGCCUCCGUGACGUCGCCGUCUCCCGCACCCUCUUUUUCUCGCGUCCUCGCCCCGUUCCUCUUUCUUCUGCCAGUUUCGCCAACUGUCAAGAGCCCCUUCUCGUUGUUAUCACGCUGCUGCCCUCUUCUCGCCCCUUUCACCACCCCGCCGCGGGACACUGCCAGGGGGUCGCCGGGCAUGCGCAGAACCGACACUGCGUCCGAAUAGCAUUAUCAAAGAGUAUCGGCGCGCGCCCGCGUGUGCGUGUGUGUGUGUGAGUGUAUGUGUGCGCGUACGAGCAGCGCGCCGUCUUCAAUGGAGUUUGUAUAUUGAUCUUUCGGCCGCGCCUCCUCCGACAGCGCCCGGUCCUGCGCCGACCUCGGACGUGUGCCAAUAGUACGCCAGUGUGUUGUUUGUUAUUGUUUGCCGUGGCAGUGGUGGCCCGAUUGGCGGGCGGCAGCCUCGAGCUGUCAGCUGUCAGCGGGUGGGAUGAGCCAUGGAUAGCGGCGCAGCGCCCUGCCGGGAUAGUCUGCUCGCAAGGUUCCGGAUGGCGCGCUAGGCGACCGCACUGAACCACUCUGCAGCGUCCCGGACACGCGCCGCGAGGAAGUAUGGCGGCCACGACGGUGCGCAUGCCGUCUCGCAGCCAGACGCCACUCAAGACGCUCAACAGGGGGACCGGCUUCCUGCGGGCGCACCGCUCCGUCACCACAGGUGA